AAGGCACAAUUUGAAGGUCUCAUAUCCUCUAAUCUUGUCAAGUCCGUGUGGAGGGUCUGGACUCCCCCAAGGUGCAAAUUCUUUGCUUGGCUGGUUCUACAAAACAAAAUCUGGACAUCAGACCGCUUGAUCCGUCGUGACUGGCUCAAUUGCGGCUUGUGCCCUCUUUGUAAGCAAGCACAUGAGUCCGCUGCUCACCUACUCUUCAAAUGCCGCUUCACGUUGCGCAUUUGGAACGACAUUCUUCCGUGGCUUGGAAUGCACCACAUCUCUACUACUACAUGGUCGGCGAGCGCUUCGGUCAAAGGAUGGUGGAAUGACAACCUUUAGAUUCAUCUCGGCUCUCCCAAAGCCCUUGCCUCAUUGAUGAUGCUCAUCUCUUGGGAGGUUUGGUCCGAGCGAAACGCUGGAGCCUUCCGAAACGUGGCGGUUCCAUCGGUGGUCAUCAUCAACAAGAUCAAGCCUGAGGUGUCGCUUUGGGCUUUGGCGGGUGCCAAACACUUGAGUAAUGCCGCGAGAGUAAUUUUCCUUCGUCUGCCGCUUGCGGCUUCUGUCUAA
rnacentral:rRNA from 1 species